GCACCUCGAGCGAACAGUUCACCAAAAAAGAAACACGGCCACCAUCCACCCACGCGCCGCCGCCAGCGCUCCUUUGCCGCCCCUCUGUCGUCGCCGCCGUCCGGAAUAGCCCAUCCUCGUCGGCGCCCGCAACAGCAGCAGAGGGCCCUGGCGUUCCUUCGUCCUCGUCGUCGUCUGCAAAUCCCGCACGGCCCCUGCCCACCCCGACCAUCCUCGCACGCUGCCUGGGCGACUUGGCGGGCCGGCGGACCGGUGGACCUCCGCCUCCACGCGCCGAACGACCUCCGCCCGACCACCUCUUUCCCGACGUGUCGGCUGACUGGCGACCGCCUUCUCUACGCGCCGGCGGACCCCUGCCUCGACUUGUGCCGCCUCUACCUGUUUCCCGACGUGACGGCGGAAUGACGGACCUCCGGCUCGACGCGUCGGCGGACCUCUGCCUCCCCAACCAGCUGAGCGAGCCUCCCUUUGGUUUUUUCUGUGAAGUGAUUAUGUGGAGCUUGUGAGGAAAAAAGAUAGGACAAGAAGCCUAGGAGGUUGUCUACAGCCACUGCCCUGUGAGUGCUGUUGAACAUGUAAGUAUAGUCGGGAGAGUCAUGUACUCGCUCGAUGCCAUAGCUCACCCACCCCGAGUUGUGCCACCCUCUUCUAGCCGGAGGUGCCGCCGUCGCCGCUGUCGAGGACAUCUUAAUAUUAAACAAUAAGUAUUAUAUUCAUCAAGAGAGUUUCCUCGCUAUGUGGUGUUCACAUUUGUUCUCUCCAAGAUCAUGUAGCGGUGUGAUUAUUUUUUGCAGUUUCCCUAAUUACCCUUUUCUCUUAUUCUAGCUUCUAUAUUGUUGUGUUCACAACACUGGAGGGAUCUUACUGAAGGAAGAUUUAAUAAUAGGUAGAGUUUUUGUACUUACUGAUUAUAUAUAUUGACAUAUGACCAUAACUGAACAAUGUUGAGUUUUAUCUUCUAAAUUAGCAUGGAUUUUUUUCUGCUAAAAACAUUUUCCUAUGAUAUUUUGCAAUUUCCAUGUUUCGAUUGAGCUUGUUAUGAUUUAUCGGUAAGUCCUCUCUCAGCUUUUAGAUUUGUGCUUAGAUUGUUGUAUAUAAGCCAAAAUGAAUCUAUGAUAAGGGAAAUAAUCUGACUAAGCUUACUGUAUGAAUGAAACUGAAGAGUGAAGUGAUAUUUCUUUCUACCAUUGCGUAGCUUUACCAUCACCGAUCCAGGUUAAGUGUAUAAUUUGUUUUUCUAUGCAUUAUUCGGAU